AGACCCGAAACCCGGUGAUCUAGCCAUGGGCAGGUUGAAGGUUGGGUAACACUAACUGGAGGACCGAACCGACUAAUGUUGAAAAAUUAGCGGAUGACCUGUGGCUGGGGGUGAAAGGCCAAUCAAACCGGGAGAUAGCUGGUUCUCCCCGAAAGCUAUUUAGGUAGCGCCUCGUGAAUUCAUCUCCGGGGGUAGAGCACUGUUUCGGCUAGGGGGCCAUCCCGGCUUACCAACCCGAUGCAAACUGCGAAUACCGGAGAAUGUUAUCACGGGAGACACACGGCGGGUGCUAACGUCCGUCGUGAAGAGGGAAACAACCCAGACCGCCAGCUAAGGUCCCAAAGUCAUGGUUAAGUGGGAAACGAUGUGGGAAGGCCCAGACAGCCAGGAUGUUGGCUUAGAAGCAGCCAUCAUUUAAAGAAAGCGUAAUAGCUCACUGGUCGAGUCGGCCUGCGCGGAAGAUGUAACGGGGCUAAACCAUGCACCGAAGCUGCGGCAGCGAACGUAUCACUUAAAGCGAUUCAGCGGGUUACGAUUGACGGAGCGAAGCGACGUCAAAGCGUAUACAAAGUCGAGUCGGUUUAAGGAUACGUUCGUUGGGUAGGGGAGCGUUCUGUAAGCCUGUGAAGGUGGCCUGUGAGGGUUGCUGGAGGUAUCAGAAGUGCGAAUGCUGACAUAAGUAACGAUAAAGCGGGUGAAAAGCCCGCUCGCCGGAAGACCAAGGGUUCCUGUCCAACGUUAAUCGGGGCAGGGUGAGUCGACCCCUAAGGCGAGGCCGA
rnacentral:rRNA from 6 species